GACGAACGCUGGCGGCGUGCUUAACACAUGCAAGUCGAACGGAAAGGCCCUGCGUUUGUGGGGUUCUCGAUGGCCGAAGGGGGGAGUAACACGUGAGUAACCUGCCCUUGACUUUGGGGGAACAUCAGGAAACUGGGGCUAAUAUCGGAUAGGAUCUCCUGCAGCGUGGGGGGGGGUGGAAAGUUUCGGCGGUUGGGGAUGGACUCGCGGCUUAUCAGCUUGUUGGUGGGGUAGUGGCUGACCAAGGCUUUGACGGGUAGGCGGCCUGGGAGGGUGGACGGCGACAUGGGUCCUACGAUACGGACCAGUCUGCAACGGGAGGCAGUGGUGGGAAAUAUUGCACAACGGGCGCACGCCUGAGGCAGAGGCCCUGCGUUCGUGAUGCCGGCCUUCGGGUUGUAAACCGCUUUCGCCUGUGACGAAGCGUGAGUGACGGUACUGAGUAAAGAAGCACCGGCUAACUACGUG
rnacentral:rRNA from 1 species